rnacentral:rRNA from 1 species
GUACACGCUGUGACUAGCAUAUCAAUAAGCGGAGGAAAAGAAACUAACAAGGAUUCCCCUAGUAACGGCGAGUGAAGCGGGAAGAGCUCAAAUUUGAAAUCUUCAAGGUUUUACCUUGACGAAUUGUAGUUUAAAGAAGUGUUUUCUGCUGAAGUUUUGGUAAAAGUUCUUUGGAAUAGGACAUCAUAGAGGGUGAGAAUCCCGUAUUUGACCAUUAUUUUCAGCUUUGUGAUACACUUUCAAAGAGUCGGAUUGUUUGGGAACGCAGUCCAAAAUGGGUGGUAAAUUUCAUCUAAAGCUAAAUAUUGGCGAGAGACCGAUAGCGAACAAGUACCGUGAGGGAAAGAUGAAAAGAACUUUGAAAAGAGAGUUAAACAGUACGUGAAAUUGUCAAAAGGGAAGCGUUUGACACCAGUGUUGUUUUCUCGAAAAUCAAUUAAAAAUGGCUCGAUUUUGUAUUGCUGAGACCUUAAAAGCUCACUGUACAUUUUUCGUGUCUUUUUUAAUGCACUUUUCGUUUAACAAGUCAACAUCAGUUUCUUUUGUUGUAAAAGGGUCAUUGGAAGGUGGCUUUCUUUUCGGAGAAAGUGUUUAUAGCCUUUGACCUCUGCAAUCGGAGAGAUUGAGGUCUGCAGCGUAGGAUCCUUCGGGGUUAGAUACAUUUGUGCUAAGUUAUAGUAUUUUAUAGACAACUUGUUGACUAUGAUUUAGUCUUGUAGCUUACUCGCUUAUGCUAUUUUACCUACGCUUAGGAUGUUGAGCGCAUGUCUCUCUCU